rnacentral:rRNA from 1 species
AUUGAACGCUGGCGGCAUGCUUUACACAUGCAAGUCGAACGGCAGCGCGGGCUUCGGCCUGGCGGCGAGUGGCGAACGGGUGAGUAAUGCAUCGGAACGUGCCCAGUAGUGGGGGAUAGCCCGGCGAAAGCCGGAUUAAUACCGCAUACGACCUGAGGGUGAAAGCGGGGGACCGAAAGGCCUCGCGCUAUUGGAGCGGCCGAUGUCGGAUUAGCUAGUUGGUGGGGUAAAGGCUUACCAAGGCGACGAUCCGUAGCUGGUCUGAGAGGACGACCAGCCACACGGGGACUGAGACACGGCCCAGACUCCUACGGGAGGCAGCAGUGGGGAAUUUUGGACAGUGGGGGCAACCCUGAUCCAGCCAUGCCGCGUGCGGGAAGAAGGCCUUCGGGUUGUAAACCGCUUUUGUUCGGGAAGAAAUCCUCUGGGCUAAUACCCCGGGGGGAUGACGGUACCGGAAGAAUAAGCACCGGCUAACUACGUG